GCCGAAGUGGUGGAAUAGGUAGACACAAGGGACUUAAAAUCCCUUGCUCUUAUGGGCGUGCGGGUUCAAGUCCCGCCUUCGGCA
rnacentral:tRNA from 1 species